GUGCUUGCUUUGGCAGCACAUACAUUAAAACUGGAACAACACAGAGAUUGCAUGGCUUCUGUGCAGGGAUGACAUGCAAAUCUGUGAAGAGCGCUUUCAGGUA
ensembl:snRNA U6 U6 spliceosomal RNA